GCAUCGGUGGUGUAUGGUGCACACCUCCUUACACUGGCUCUACCAGUUGGUUGAAAGGAGGAGGACGGGGUUCGACUCCCCGCCGAUGCA